rfam:Ictidomys tridecemlineatus contig089645, whole genome shotgun sequence.
UGUGGCUCAGUGGUAGAGCACUUGCCUAGCAUGUAUGAGGCACUGGGUUCAAUUCUCAGCA